UCCGGUUUAACACCGGCGGUCUCCCUAGAGUGCCCAACUAAAUGGUGGCAACUAGGGACAAGGGUUGCGCUCGUUAAGGGACUUAACCCGACAUCUCACGAUACGAGCUGACGACAGCCAUGCAGCACCUGUCUCCCGGCCCCCGAAGGGGAAGCCCUAUCUCUAGGACGGUCCGGGGAUGUCAAGCCCAGGUAAGGUUCUUCGCGUUGCAUCGAAUUAAACCACAUGCUCCACCGCUUGUGCGGGCCCCCGUCAAUUCCUUUGAGUUUUAAUCUUGCGACCGUACUUCCCAGGCGGGGUACUUAAUGCGUUAGCGUCGGCACUGCGAGGGUCAAUUCCCGCAACACCUAGUACCCAUCGUUUACGGCGUGGACUAC
rnacentral:misc_RNA from 1 species